CCCAACCCCCACGGGCGCCCGGGGCACCGGGCUGAGAUUGCGCUGCCUUGCCGCGCAAGGACCGUAUGAACCUGUCUGGUUAGCACCAGCGAAGGAAGAGAGGCCUACAAGGACA
rnacentral:ncRNA from 2 species